UACGAAGGGCGCGGGUGUUAUUCGUUUUGAUUGGGUGUAAAGGGUACGUAGGCGGCUUCCGCCGUUGUUCGGCUUAAAGCGCGGAGUGUUCCUACGCGGUAGCCUUUCAAUCAGGAAGCUUGUGUUGGGUGGAGGUAGGAUCAAUUUCUUAUGUAGGGGUAAAAUCCUGCGAGAUAAGAACGAAGGCCAGCUGGAGAAAUCGUCUUUCUAUGCCCAACAGACGCUAAGGUACGGAAGCUUGGGGAGCAAACGGG
rnacentral:rRNA from 1 species